rnacentral:ncRNA from 1 species
AUAGGACCCGGUGAAAACCCGGGUGGCUCUUCCGCCCGCCAAUCCGCCGGACAAUC